rnacentral:pre_miRNA from 1 species
CAUCGCUAUUUCUUGCUGGCACCAUCUGAUUAAAGGUGCAGCAUGAUGUAGUGGUGUG